ACUGUAAAAUCCUACAGUCAUUCUUCCAGCAUAAAGGGAAAACGGACUCACUAGGAGGACCUAGACUCUUUCAGCUUGAACUGUUAACCAAUGGUGGAAAUGCAAGAAUGCUGAAGUUGUGCCUUCAGAGCCAAUAGAGUGGAUUUGUGUGUCCCACAUGACUGUGUUUCCCCUGUCUUUCACAUGGGCAGUAUUUAGUUCAAUUCAGAACUGCAGAUAGUAUAGCGUGCAGAGCAGCAAUGGGAUGUCUGAGCACAAGUAGCUGACUUCCAGGCGACUUCAGGAAGCACAUUUGUACAUUUCUCCUGAAUUAUCUGGGAUUCUGCACCUUUGACAUUCUCCAAUCCUCCUUGUCGCUGCAAAAGGAGACAGCGACCUGCACAACACAACAAAACUACAAACCACCACAGAGCUGCAGACCAGCAAUGAAGAGAGGUGAGGGCAAUUUUACCAACAUCAUCUAUGUCAGUUCCCCAGAAGUCGAUGAAACACGUAAUCAAGUCUCCAAGACGACAAGCUUCAGAAGAUCACUGUGGAAGAAAGACCCUGGGCCAACCCAUCCUGUUGAUAUGACUCAAAGUACAGCCCAGUUUGGUAUUCUUUCCACUCUGAAGGAGUCUCACAUCAGAUGAGCAUCCAGUGUCAGCUGGUUCAACGCAGAUGCCACUGAUAUCAAUGGAGCUGUGUCAGUUUACUCUAGCUAAGAAUCUGAUCCCAAGUGUGCUGCUGCCAAUUUUAGACCCUGCCACUAGAAUUCACUUUUGCAAGGCAAUUAAAAAAAACACUUCCACAUAUUGCACUUCUUCCUGUACCAAAGUGUAGAACUGGAAGUCUGUUGACAGACUGUGGGAGAGGGCAAGUGGAAGGUGGAAGUAGCCAACAACUGCAUCCAUGAGAUAACUUUGCAGUAUCAAUAUGAACAGUGUUCUGUUGUCUUCCUUUUAUACAAACAAAUAUUUGGCUUCAAAAAGCUUUAACUCCACCUUCCACUAACAAACAAUUCCAUGUCAGCAAAAGAAAAAUGAUGCUGUAAUCUACGUUGAGUAUCUACCUUACAAAUUUGUUAACACGGUAUUUUAACCAGUAUGCAAUCCAGAUAGACUGUUUCAAUGCACCAUUAGAAAAAGUACUUAAAGCUACAAGAGCCCCAAGGCUGAGUUCUGUCUCUUCACCUAAGUAUUUGCACCAAAGCAAUCUCCCUGCUGUAGCAGCAGUAAGACUGGUAACAGUUCUAAGGCAGCUAUUUGAAGUAGCCUGCAAGCCAGACUUCUGGCUGGCAUCCUUCAUAUCUCAUCUAUCAAUUGUGUAGGCAAGAGAGGAGGAAGAAAGGAAAAGGUGGGGAAAUAAGCAGGGCAGAGUAGUACUUGACAGUUCCACCAAUUCUAAGCAGGAAGAGGGAGCUUUUGCCUCAUUUUUACAAAAGGUAGUUGUUAACAUGAGUGUAUUGUAUAACAACUGCCCAGUAUUAACCAGUACAAUGAAGUUGGAAUGUUGGUCUUUUGAUUCAACAUAGCAAGGUCAAAAUGGAAAAGGCAAUUAAUUAGAACCAAAGACGCAGUUCACAUAGUAUUGAAAUAAUUGUCUAUUUGUGCAGCGCAACAACCAUAUCUUCAAUUUAGGUCAGGCCAUCAAGAGGAAAAGGACGGAAGACUGAAGAUGAGAUGCUCUACUUCACACAGUUGCCCUCUGGAAGGACUUGCAAAGGCAGUCACUUAAAUUAAGUACAGGUCAUCAGAGAAGAUAUCUAAUCUAUUCCUAAGACAGGCAGCUCUAGCAGCCCAAAUCCCUAUGGCCUUUGCAGCUACACAAUGAACUACUUCCUCAUGUUCCUCUGUCAAUUCAUGUUAGGUUCCAGUUUUUUUAAAGCGAUAUUUCAUGUACAUCAUGACCCUAUUGCUCAAAGCAAGGAAAGUGCUUUGGUUUAUUUAUGACCUACUAACCUUAAAUAAAAAAAAAAAAAAUACAUCCAAUCUGAAUGUUCACAUGAGCCUUCAGAUCUGAAAUAAAAUUUAAAAUAAAGCUGGCAUUUGUAACAGCUAGCUAAGCCUGGUAAGGGAUUUAAAAAAAAAAAAUGAAAACCAGAUGAAAGAAGAUGAAAGCAUAUUUACCCUGCAUAACCUUCACACGUCAGGAACCAGGGCUGGAACCCAGAAAUACCUUUGUACUUAAAAGUUUCAGCUUGUUUCAGAGGUGACCAAGGAAAUACUGAGGUUUUCCAUGAUGGGGGGAUGGGGAGGCAAUAAAAGCAACCUGUGAAAGUAAUUCCUUCUGAGAUGCAAUCUACCCAGCCACUAGCUCUACACAGCUCCUUCUCCUUCACCCCAUCACAAUUGUCAGAUAUCAGCCAGGCAAGCCCCCAUACUGACACAUGAAGUGACAGAUGGAAGCAGGCAAAAAGGGCAUAGGCAUGAGUACUGAAAGAAAUUACAUACAGAAAACAAGCUAAUAAUGGGGCAGAUCUUAAACAUGAGCAACCCUAAACCAUAAAGUUAAUUCAUUUUGCUAGAACAAUGUUGAACAGAUGCACAUGCACAUCAGACUGAGUUGGAGAGCCUUAUUGUCUCAUCACUCAUGCCAAUGUGUAGAGGUCUUCUCCUAACAUCCAUGGAAUUAAACCUUUGAAAUUUCAGUACAAAUAAAGGGUGAAAUAAAAAUAAUCUAAGCUAAAGUACUGGCAGCAAACAUCCUGUGCUGCUGUAUUGGGAAAGAAAGGUGGACUGCCAGAUUUAAUUAAAAUCUAUUUGAUUUAGCUAUAUUCAUAAUCACAGUGGCCUUCAUAAAUAAAACACAUCUAAUCUACCAUAAAGAAGAAAAUUAAUUGAUUCUAUUUUUGUCUAGUUCUCCAGUAGGCUAUAUUAAUGACUUUUAGUUAAAUUAGAUGAAAAAUACAGUUGAGUUAAACAAUGUAAUAAAUACCUCUAUAGGCAGAGCAAUUAGUUAAAAGAAAGUUAGGACAAACUUGUCUUAGUAUUUGUUUACAAAAUAGGCUAGGGUAGCACACUGAUGUACUCAGGGUUCCCUUAACACAAGUAUAGACAAAACCCCAAACAUUUAUUAAGUCUUAUAAAUAACAACAGAUGGAUGAGGGAGAGGGCAUCUUUAAGCAAAGGAUAAGGUAAACAAACAAACAGCAAUUCAUAAAAGUCAAUGAAUCAGUCACAUAGUUUCAUCACAGUUAAGAGCCAACCUAACAGAAAAGAAUUCUGACAAGCUGAGCUUCAAGAACACCUGCAUAAGAACGCUGCUCACAAAUGAAAAUAAGGUAAAAUUUCUGGAUUACCAUGUUUUGCCUUCUUAUCCAGCCUCUAAAACCCUUCUACAACACAAAAAACUACAACUCUAGUUUAAGAAAAUAUUACUUAUUUUUAUUAUAAUUAGAAUGGUUGAGUUGGAAAGCUCAGAAAAUUAGGAAAAUUGUUGCAUUACUGUGGAAAUUUUUAAGAAUAAGGACUUUACUGUGUGAUGAUCAGCUAGGUGUGCAAAGCAUGCUGACAUUUUAAAAAAUGAAAAUAAAUAUAGGUCAAGCUUUGAUAUGUACUCACCUUUUUUCCUCCUGAAAACCAUCAGAACAGGUUCUGCAUGUGUGAAAAUUUGUAAGAAUAAAAAGGUCUGUCUCUGAGAUGUUUUUGAAAAAUUAAGCUUCUUUAAAGGAAAUCUAUUUUUCAUCAAUCCUGAACAAGUUUAAUCAAAUUGAACCAUGUCAAUAGAAGAAAUUUUGCUAAAUUGAGCAAUCUCUAAUUGGCAACACUAAUUUGUAAAAAUCUUAGCCAGCUCUGUUCAUUUAUGGGAUCUCAUGUUUUGUUUUACUGUGAAGUUCAGUCUUGUGAAAUAACAGACAACAUUAAUCUACUCAUGCCUGGAUCGCUAACCUUUAUUUUUAAACCCUCAAUAACUGAAAUAUAUUUUCUUUUCUUAGAAAGAAGUCUGGGAAACUGCCAGCUCCUUGCAGAAAAGACUGAAAGAUGAUGGGCAGAGAAGGGUGUUGGUAAGACAAAAAUGAUUGAAGUUGCAUCAUCUGUAUGAUUAAAUUCACUUUGUGAAUUUUGAUUUUCCCCCCCUACUUUCAGACAUUUGAGGAUGCAGUCAAGUCAAUGGAGUUCUGUUGUAGUGGUUGCUUCAGUGAACAUUCAACGCUGUCGGCCUUAACACCGAAGAUAGCAACCUAACCAUCACACGAUGUUUCUCCCUCACCCUGCCAAGCUUUACAAAAAGGUCACAAUCAACAUUCAUUGCUGUCGGUGGGUUUAACUAUGUGGACAAGCUCACUGAACAAUGAAUGCAACUGUGGCCCCACAUUUUACAGUUGCUGUUGAGAGGAGCAGCAGCUCUGAAGGCAAUAGUGAGAAGCAAACACUUUUUAUAAGCUAUAGGUUUUUGGUCAGAAAAAUAGUUGGGGGUAUCCCACUUUUUGCUUGCUUGGUUUUGAGUGUGUUUAACUUAGCUGACUGGAAGAGAAAGCCCACUGCCUUUUUCUGGGGUGUUAGCUUCACAGGGUUCAAUACCACUGAAAAUGUGUAAAUUUUUAUUUAGUAUGUAUGCAGAAAAACAACAGGACAGGAUGCUCUGUAUAUCCGCUCCUAAGGACUCUGACAUAAGAGGAAAGAAUAUUUAAUUGACAUUUAACUAGGCAUUGUUGAAGAGUUCAAAAGUUUAUUCCAUACUUGUCAUGACAAAUACAGCUGAGAAGAAAUGGGAUUUAAGAGUUACAAAUAAAAAUGUUACAUAAAAAUAUUAAUUAAUUUUACAUGAAGCUGAUUUUAAGAACACAAAUACUACUGCAUUUGCUCUUUUUAGGGAUCUGAAAGAUGACAGAGAAAUUUAUAUCCAGAAA